rnacentral:rRNA from 1 species
AGACCCGAAACCCGGUGAUCUAGCCAUGGGCAGGUUGAAGGUUGGGUAACACUAACUGGAGGACCGAACCGACUAAUGUUGAAAAAUUAGCGGAUGACCUGUGGCUGGGGGUGAAAGGCCAAUCAAACCGGGAGAUAGCUGGUUCUCCCCGAAAGCUAUUUAGGUAGCGCCUCGUGAAUUCAUCUCCGGGGGUAGAGCACUGUUUCGGCUAGGGGGCCAUCCCGGCUUACCAACCCGAUGCAAACUGCGAAUACCGGAGAAUGUUAUCACGGGAGACACACGGCGGGUGCUAACGUCCGUCGUGAAGAGGGAAACAACCCAGACCGCCAGCUAAGGUCCCAAAGUCAUGGUUAAGUGGGAAACGAUGUGGGAAGGCCCAGACAGCCAGGAUGUUGGCUUAGAAGCAGCCAUCAUUUAAAGAAAGCGUAAUAGCUCACUGGUCGAGUCGGCCUGCGCGGAAGAUGUAACGGGGCUAAACCAUGCACCGAAGCUGCGGCAGCGAACGUAUCACUUAAAGCGAUUCAGCGGGUUACGAUUGACGGAGCGAAGCGACGUCAAAGCGUAUACAAAGUCGAGUCGGUUUAAGGAUACGUUCGUUGGGUAGGGGAGCGUUCUGUAAGCCUGUGAAGGUGUGUCGUGAGGCAUGCUGGAGGUAUCAGAAGUGCGAAUGCUGACAUAAGUAACGAUAAAGCGGGUGAAAAGCCCGCUCGCCGGAAGACCAAGGGUUCCUGUCCAACGUUAAUCGGGGCAGGGUGAGUCGACCCCUAAGGCGAGGCCGAAAGGCGUAGUCGAUGGGAAACGGGUUAAUAUUCCCGUACUUGGUGUUACUGCGAAGGGGGGACGGAGAAGGCUAUGUUGGCCGGGCGACGGUUGUCCCGGUUUAAGCGUGUAGGUGUGUGUUCCAGGUAAAUCCGGUUCACUUUAACACUGAGGCGUGAUGACGAGGCACUACGGUGCUGAAGCAACAAAUGCCC